rnacentral:lncRNA from 1 species
UGAGAAUGGGAGCUGAGAGAGUCAUACCUCCAGUUCUGUGGAAACAUGUCAGAGGGAAUCUGCAGUUGAGAAGUCACGAAGGUGUCAGAAUUCGUGACAGAUGGCACAGAGGCAGGGAAGCGCAGGGCUGAUUUGGAGAAAGAAGAGUCUCAUGUGACUGGAACAUAAGAGGGUUUUGGGGGAUGCUGUUGAGCAAGCCAAGUGGGUGGAUCCAAGUACUUAAGAGCCUUACUUGCUGAAAUAGUUGGAUUGUAUUUAAUAGGCAAUGAGGAAUCAUGUAAAGCUUUCCAGAGGGCAACAGCAGGAUUGGAGAGGUGUAUUAGGUGCCGGUGUGUCCCAUGGAGGAUAGACACCAGCUAUUUGGGACAAAUAUAGGAAUGCAUGUCAGGGGCAAGGACAGUGCUGGCAGGGCUGGCACUACUCAAGCAAGUUGACUGACAGCAGGGAUCCCAUGAGUUGUCAGGGGUCUCAGCAUGAGAGCAAAGCGUGUCAGAACCCUUUCUCAAAGCUGGGCUGCAGCUGGGAGAGGAUGGCAGGCCAAGACGGGCUCCAGCCCAGAUGAGCCUGGACAGGAUCCUGGCAAAAGGAGCUCACCUGUGCACAUUAUGAUGUAUGCUGGAAGAGAGCAGAAGCUGGGAUUAAGCACUACGUGGGGGAGCCAGGAACACUGCUGGGAGGGUGGUCAGUGCUGACAGGGAGAGUUGCAGCUCUGGUGCCAUGGUGGUUCAGGGCACAGCAUGACAGUGAUGGCUGAGUUCUCUGUCUGGGAUCAUGAGUAGAGUUGACCAGGGUGGAGAAGAGAGGAGGAGGAGCAUGCUUAGAGGAAAAGAUACUGAGCUGAGUUGGGGGCAUGUGAAUUUGAGGUGCCUGUGGGACCCUCCAUUGGGGACGUUCAGUAGACACGUUGGAGCAUCAGUUAGGCCCUGGAAAUGGGGCUUUGGAGCCUUGAAGAGAAGUCAGGAAUUGGGUCUUUGCCUGAGAGAUGGUUCUGGUGGUGACGGGAGUCAAUGAGACUGCUCAGGUUGAAACAAAGCAAGCAAGCCAAGGAAAAUCAUGGUCAAGGCAUCUGAAGGCCAAGGGUGGACAUGUGUACAAGUGCCAGUGGAAAAUGGCUUUUCUGGAAUAUCAGGUUUGGUCCUAAGAGACUAAGGGCACUCCACGUGGUGAGCAAUAAAUCUGGAUUCUGCUGUGUUUAAUUAAGCGUGUCACCAGCAUGGAAUGCGACCAUGGAUUGGCCUGUGACGAGCCUCCUUCUCCUAGAGAGAGAAGUUCUAGCCUCGUCUUCUGCUCCUGUGGAGUUUUCCAUUGCUUGGAAAUGGUUUGUAAGGUGAUGGAGUCCCAUGGAUGCCAGCUGGCAAAGGAAGAUCAGAGAAGGAGGAGAAGUUGAGUCAGUGGAGGGGAAAGAUUGCUGGAUGAUAUUUUCUUCACAGCUGUAGUGUCAAUAAAUAAAGACUUUGAUCACCCAUAAAGACCAAGGUUCCACGCUCCUGCCCUCUUUCUGCAAGUUAAUUGAUAAAUGUUAAGAGAAUGAUGUAGUGUCUUCUUACUAAUCCCUGAAAAGACUCUCUGAACACAGCAAUAUCAUCAUCAAGUGAACUUCACAAAUCCUAGGACAAAAGAGAGCUGAUAGCCAUGUCACACGUGCCUGAAUUUCCUGCACAGGUUUCUUGUUAUGUGGCAGCCCAAUCUAUGCCUGACCAUGUCCAGAGAACGGAAAUGCACCCUCUCAAAGGGAAGCCCAUUCCACCUCUGGAGAAUUCAAGUUAUUGAAAGGGUCUUGCUUAUAUUAUUG